rnacentral:rRNA from 1 species
UAAGGAAUCUUCCACAAUGGGGGCAACCCUGAUGGAGCAACGCCGCGUGCAGGAUGAAGGCCUUAGGGUUGUAAACUGCUUUUAUUAGCGAAGAAUAUGACGGUAACUAAUGAAUAAGGGUCGGCUAACUACGUGCCAGCAGCCGCGGUCAUACGUAGGACCCAAGCGUUAUCCGGAGUGACUGGGCGUAAAGAGUUGCGUAGGCGGUGAUUUAAGCGAGGAGUGAAAUAUGAUGGCUCAACCAUCAAGACAUUUCUCGAACUGAAUUACUCGAGUAUGGUAGAGGUAGCUGGAAUUUCUAGUGUAGGAGUGAAAUCCGUAGAUAUUAGAAGGAACACCAAUGGCGUAGGCAGGCUACUGGACCAUUACUGACGCUGAGGCACGAAAGCGUGGGGAGCGAACCGG